rnacentral:miRNA from 1 species
CCGCCAAAAACUAAAAUAAAUAUUAAAAAAUUCUCUCUCUCUCUCUCUCUCUUAAAAAAAAAAGACUUAGUACUAUGUUUAAUGGAAGUGGUAAGAGUGGGGCAUCUUGUCCUAUUCUUUUUUUUUUUUUAAGAGAGAGUGAGAGAGAGAGAGAGAGAGAGAGAGAGAGAAUUUUUUAAUGUUUACUUUUUAGUUUUUGG